CAAAAUUUAUCACGAGCUUCCACAGGCUCAGAGAGAACAGAGUAUAAAAGGGGAUCACAACAGGGAAAUGCAGAAACACCCUGGUGGUGGAAGACACUAUUUCAACUAUUCUCUGAAGAAUUAUAGGAGUUGCCAAAAAUCAUAGAGGUUUGUAUACCAUCCUAAGUAUGCAGAUUAUUAUAGAAGUUAAUUUCAACAGAUGCCUUUAGCAUGUCAAGCGUUUCAAAAUGUAGAAUUAUCAGCCUUCAGCCACCUAUAAUGAACAAAAUAAAAUAAAUAACCCGGGUUUGUUCUCUUGUAUGUAAUGCUUCCUCUUUCUCCCCUGCCUUAUUCAAUGGAAUCCAGUCCCUCAGGU